rnacentral:rRNA from 1 species
UACAGAGGUCCCAAGCGUUGUUCGGAUUCACUGGGCGUAAAGGGUGCGUAGGCGGUCGGGUAAGUCUGAUGUGAAAUCUCACAGCUUAACUGUGAAACUGCAUUGGAUACUAUCCGGCUAGAGGAAUGGAGGGGAGACUGGAAUACUUGGUGUAGCAGUGAAAUGCGUAGAUAUCAAGUGGAACACCAGUGGCGAAGGCGAGUCUCUGGACAUUUCCUGACGCUGAGGCGCGAAAGCCAGGGGAGCAAACGGG